GACAGAAGAGGAAAACGAUAGAAGGAAACAUGCCCACGUGAAGAGGCUGUAGCAGACACAGUUUAUCACAACACCACUGUAACAAGAGCAAGCAAAGUGUAAGACUAUGUGCCUCGAGGAGACAAAGCAGGCAGGAAAGCCCAGAAACGCACGGAGGGCUGAGAGGCUCCCGCCUCUGGGGGGCGAUGUGUUAAAGCCCCAUCAUACGGCACCGGCGGGGGGCGGGGGCAGAAUCUAGAAAUGGGAAAAGGAGUAAAGAGAUUGUGACAAAUAUUCAGUGGUGGGAUUGUGGAUUUCAGAUACCAGCAAAAUAAGCAGGCAGGCCUGAGAAGAAUACCUGAGUAGAAUAGUCAUCGGAACAAAUUUUGCAUGAACAAUGAAAAAUAGUUGUAUUAGGUCAAAGGGGAGGUCUGAGUGACACCCAGAAGUAUAGGCAGGGCAGCACUCCCACUUCUGGGAACCCACAGGCUGUGGUGUAUAAAAAUUCAUAGCAUUUAACAUGCUGCGUUCCAUCAGACUGUAAAGCUAGUAUGGUUUCCCUUUCACCAGAAUAUUUUUUUCCAAGGGUGCCUACUAGAUAUUUCAGAUUCUUUAGCCUCGUGGCCUCUUCUUUCAAUGGAGACGUAUCAUUAACAAAAGAAAGGGUCAUGUGAUUGUUUUUUCCAGUGUGGAGUAAACAGAUACCUUAUCCUUUUCAGCAUAAGCCUCUGUACCAACGUCAUAGCACCAAGGACUCCAUCAAAAUUAAAAUCUGUUCAACUCGCUGCAGGGAAGUGAUCUUGGAGCUUUCAAGCGAAGCCCUAAGGAGGAGGCUCCUGAAGUCCCACAGUCCUUUUCAGAGUCGAAGACUAGAAAGCCAGGAAUCCUUACUCCUGGUCAACUGCCAGGGUAGCAAGUGGGGGAAAAUCCCAUAUCCUUGGAGCUUCCAGAAUGUAAGCGCUCUGAAGCCAAGCAGGCCGUAAUGCCUUCUGCUGACUCACAGGGCACCAGGAUUAAAAAAAUCAGGAGCAAACAGUCAAGCCCAUAAAAUCAAGGAGUUAAAAUGAGUAUGUACAAUAGAAGUGUGAGCAUCUCUCAUAAAAUCUUACAGCACUCAGCUUUUAAAUGUGCA